rnacentral:rRNA from 1 species
ACAGCAGCCGCCGCGGUAAUACAGAGGGUGCGAGCGUUAAUCGGAUUUACUGGGCGUAAAGCGUGCGUAGGCGGCUUCUUAAGUCGCAUGUGAAAUCCCUGAGCUUAACUUAGGAAUUGCAUUCGAUACUGGGAAGCUAGAGUAUGGGAGAGGAUGGUAGAAUUCCAGGUGUAGCGGUGAAAUGCGUAGAGAUCUGGAGGAAUACCGAUGGCGAAGGCAGCCAUCUGGCCUAAUACUGACGCUGAGGUACGAAAGCAUGGGGAGCAAACAGGAUUAGAUACCCCUGUAGUCCCUGUCUCUUAUAC